rnacentral:rRNA from 1 species
UAGGGAAUCUUCGGCAAUGGACGAAAGUCUGACCGAGCAACGCCGCGUGAGUGAAGAAGGUUUUCGGAUCGUAAAACUCUGUUGGUAGAGAAGAACAUUGGUGAGAGUGGAAAGCUCAUCAAGUGACGGUAACUACCCAGAAAGGGACGGCUAACUACGUGCCAGCAGCCGCGGUAAUACGUAGGUCCCGAGCGUUGUCCGGAUUUAUUGGGCGUAAAGCGAGCGCAGGUGGUUUAUUAAGUCUGGUGUAAAAGGCAGUGGCUCAACCAUUGUAUGCAUUGGAAACUGGUAGACUUGAGUGCAGGAGAGGAGAGUGGAAUUCCAUGUGUAGCGGUGAAAUGCGUAGAUAUAUGGAGGAACACCGGUGGCGAAAGCGGCUCUCUGGCCUGUAACUGACACUGAGGCUCGAAAGCGUGGGGAGCAAACAGGAUUAGAUAGCCCUGGUAGUCCA